rnacentral:rRNA from 1 species
AUUGAACGCUGGCGGCAUGCCUUACACAUGCAAGUCGAACGGCAGCACGGGAGCAAUCCUGGUGGCGAGUGGCGAACGGGUGAGUAAUGUAUCGGAACGUGCCCAGUCGUGGGGGAUAACGUAGCGAAAGCUACGCUAAUACCGCAUACGAUCUAUGGAUGAAAGCGGGGGAUCGCAAGACCUCGUGCGAUUGGAGCGGCCGAUAUCAGAUUAGGUAGUUGGUGGGGUAAAGGCUCACCAAGCCGACGAUCUGUAGCUGGUCUGAGAGGCCGACCCGCCACACUGGGACUGAGCCACGGCCCAGACUCCUACGGGAGGCAGCAGUGGGGAAUUUUGGACAAUGGGCGCGAGCCUGAUCCAGCAAUGCCGCGUGCAGGAUGAAGGCCUCCGGGUUGUAAACUGCUUUUGUACGGAACGAAACGGCGAGCUCUAAUACAGUUUGCUAAUGACGGCACCGUAAGAAUAAGCACCGGCUAACUACGUGCCAGCCGCCGCAGUAA